rnacentral:lncRNA from 1 species
GGGCGAAGCAUGUAUAGAAGGGUGUUUCAGCUCCACUAACGUGAAACCUGUGGAGGGGCGAAGCAUGCAAUGUGCACCGGUGUUCCCCACAGUAAAAGCACUGCUAAUGGGCAAUGAGAGACCGAAGAAAGAUUAGACACAGACACCCGCAGUGCGCUUUUAGUUAACAUGCACACUGCGAAUCUUUAUUGUUCAACUACGCACAAGAGAAAUCUCCCACCGGCACUACAUUGCAGGUCAAGAUCCAGCGCUUGUACAUACGGGGUGGCCGAUAAACGGUCGUGCAGCGCGAGCAGUCGGUUUUUCCAAUCAAGAAACUCGCUAUCAGACGCUGCCUGCGUUGUACGCUUGUGAAGAACGAGAGAGGGAGAGA